rnacentral:rRNA from 1 species
UACGAAGGGGGCUAGCGUUGCUCGGAAUUCAUGCUGGGCGUAAAGGGUGCGUAGGCGGGUCUUUAAGUCAGGGGUGAAAGUCCUGGGAGCCUCAACUCCAGAACUGCCUUUGAAUACUGAGGUAUCUUGAGUACGGGAGAGGUGAGUGGAAACUGCGAGUGUAGAGGUGAAAUUCGUAGAUAUGUAAGGAAGACCAGUGGCGAAGGCGGGUCUCUGGACAGUUCCUGACGCUGAGGCAC